CGACAGGCUCCACUACAUCUUGGAGCACAUUAACUACUGGAUGGUGUCCAGGGUGUCGCAGGAGAGAGCCAGGGCCAUUUGGAGCAGCAUGGCCCUGCUCAGAUUCACCAUCACUUUCCCUGAGUUUGACAACUCAGCAGAAUUGCCCAGGCUGGGUCAACAUGUGGUACAGCUGGCUCUGUUCAUCAUUGACCCAGGCAAGGACAUCAGCCAGCAGGCCAGGGAGGGGGUUUACCGACUCUACCAGCUGCUGCUGCACCAGACAGGUAAGGAACCCAGCUGGGAAAUGGCACCUGAUAGAAGAGUGAGACUGGGACCCCAGCCAAUUUCUCUCAGACUGACCCCAGCUGGAGGAUGAGUCUCUGUCUGUCUCUUUCUCUUUCCUACACCCCUCCCCUGCAAUUGUGAUGGACCAGGAUCACAGUGAGGACUCUGCCCACUGUGCAGCCACCAAUGGGAUUGGAAGGACACAAGCACUGCAACCAGAAUGGCAAAUGCGUGUGUGUCUCUCUUUCCCAGGGCUGACCAUCCGUGAGGCUGAAAACCUGUGGUGCAUGAGACAGCUCAGGGAGUGGGGGUGGCUGGGUCUAGCCCCAGGAUUUGGAGCUUGGCUGUGGGCAAUCUGUUAAUGCCUCACAUCCUGUUGAUUUGAGGACUUUGGAAAGUUCUUCUUGGAGGGGCAGAGAGGAUUCUUCCUCCGGACGGCAGUGAUGGCCGUCUACGACGCACUGCUGCGUGUGAGCCAGGCUGGACUGCUCUUUGCCAUUAGGAGCAGCACGGCCCUGCUCAGAUUCACCAUCACCCUCCCUGAG